rnacentral:rRNA from 1 species
GUGGGGAAUCUUCCGCAAUGGACGAAAGUCUGACGGAGCAACGCCGCGUGAGUGAUGAAGGUCUUCGGAUUGUAAAGCUCUGUUAAUCGGGACGAAAGAGCCUAGUGUGAAUAAUGCUAGGAAGUGACGGUACCGGAAUAGAAAGCCACGGCUAACUACGUGCCAGCAGCCGCGGUAAUACGUAGGUGGCAAGCGUUGUCCGGAAUUAUUUGGCGUAAAGCGCGCGCAGGCGGAUCUGCCAGUCUGUCUUAAAAGUUCGGGGCUUAACCCCGUGAUGGGAUGGAAACUACAGAUCUAGAGUAUCGGAGAGGAAAGUGGAAUUCCUAGUGUAGCGGUGAAAUGCGUAGAUAUUUGGAAGAACACCAGUGGCGAAGGCGACUUUCUGGACGAUGUCUGACGCUGAGGCGCGAAAGCUAGGGGAGCGAACGGGAUUAGAAACCCGUGUAGUCC